UGAGUCUGUGAGAGUGAGUUAAAACUAUUUACAGGAGUUCCCAGGGAGGCCGGCCAAGAGCAGGGAUUUUGUCAUGCAGUAUCACUGGGAAGCAAAGCUCUGGGAGAAGCUAAAACUUGUUCAUUUGGGUGCGUGGGGCUGGAGCUGUCAGAGGUGAGUCUGAUGGAGGUGAGCACAGGAGAUCAGCCAGUGUUGGUCAGGAAACACCUUCCUUGUGCCUCGGGUAGGCUGCACUCAUGGCCACAAGGUCAUGUUACCCAGGAGAAGAUUUUUGCUUCAGAGUACCUGUGGGUGGAAUCGUGUGGCUUAGAAUUUGCUGCUGUAAUCUUCUCCUCACCCCUUCCUGUGAGCAUCAAGAGAGCAACUGUAGCACAAAUCCAGGGGAGAAGAGGUCUGGUUAUUGUGACCUUUUCCCCUGUUUUGGUAAGACUGAAGAAGUCCAUCAUGAGUCUGCUGAAAUUUAUGCACUCUACAGGCUUUUUCCUGCAGAAUGUUUUUUCAAAUGAAAGGGCAGAAGGAAGAGAACUGGUUCAGAUCCUGAUUUUUAACAUGCAAGACGGAAAGAGGUUGGGAUUUUAUAUGGGACUGAAGACAUUUCUUUUGGAUCUUUGGAAGAAAAAAAUGCUCUCCAUCUUCAUAGCAAAAAGGAUCAAUGCUGAAAUACAUAAGAAGAGAGGCUGUCCUGGAAAAGUGAGAAAGAGUGUGCAGAAAGAAACUAUGCCCAGAUGAAUCCACUGUGCCCUGUUUGGCAUAAAACAUAGGAGAAGCACAAAGGAGAUAUCAAUAUUUUGCUUCUGCUUUUUUUAAAGGAAAUAAAAUCCUAAUGAAAUAGAAC
rnacentral:lncRNA from 13 species